rnacentral:rRNA from 1 species
UACAGAGGUCCCAAGCGUUGUUCGGAUUCACUGGGCGUAAAGGGUGCGUAGGUGGUGGGGUAAGUCGGAUGUGAAAUCUCCGAGCUCAACUCGGAAACUGCAUUGGAAACUACCCUGCUAGAGGGUCGGAGGGGGGACUGGAAUACUUGGUGUAGCAGUGAAAUGCGUAGAUAUCAAGUGGAACACCAGUGGCGAAGGCGAGUCCCUGGACGACUCCUGACACUGAGGCACGAAAGCUAGGGAGCAAACAGG